AUAAUGGGAAACUAAGGGCAAGUUCUCAUGUUCCUGGUCCUGGCUUCUUUGAGGCUCUCUGCUUCGUCCUCCCUCCAUUCUCAUGAGCAGAAGAGACACUGAAAGCAGGAGAGAACAGAAAGCACCAGGCUGCAGUGCGUCAGGUGGAUGGAUGGGGAGGGCCAGCCUACCCAAGACCUCCAACCACCCAGGAGCCAUGUGGGAUAUGCAGUGAGAGCAGCUUGGGAAGAUGCUCAGUUACAACAGAAGCUUCACCUUUGUUGUGUCAUUUCCAGGGGUGUGAGAUGGACUUAGAAGGAAUCCAAGAUGAUUUUUCCAUUAGAAAAAUUGUCUUUGGUGACUUGGGAAAAGGUUUAGUCCAGCAUCGAACAAGAUUUUUCUUUUCUCCUAAUUAAUUUAUUUCCUGCCAAAGAAAUUGACUGUGUCCCUUUAAACAGCACCAACCCCAAAGCAAAGUGUCCCUGGAGGGAAUCAUGGGAUCAAUUUUCCAGCCGGAGACUAUGCAGCCUGACUAUACAGGCUUCAGGCUUUUAAUUUGCUUAUACAUAGAGUGGCUUGAGCU
ensembl:lncRNA novel transcript